UAGUUCCCUGAGAAGAAACUGUUUCUAC
rnacentral:piRNA from 1 species